GACGAACGCUGGCGGCGUGCUUAACACAUGCAAGUCGAACGGAAAGGCCCUGCUUUUGUGGGGUGCUCGAGUGGCGAACGGGUGAGUAACACGUGAGUAACCUGCCCUUGACUUUGGGAUAACUUCAGGAAACUGGGGCUAAUACCGGAUAGGAGCUCCUGCUGCAUUGUGGGGGUUGGAAAGUUUCGUCGGUUGGGGAUGGACUCGCGGCUUAUCAGCUUGUUGGUGGGGUAGUGGCUUACCAAGGCUUUGACGGGUAGCCGGCCUGAGAGGGUGACCGGCCACAUUGGGACCGAGAUACGGCCCAGACGCCUACGGGAGGCAGCAGUGGGGAAUAUUGCACAAUGGGCGGAAGCCUGAUGCAGCAACGCCGCGUGCGGGAUGACGGCCUUCGGGUUGUAAACCGCUUUCGCCUGUGACGAAGCGUGAGUGACGGUAAUGGGUAAAGAAGCACCGGCUAACUACGUG
rnacentral:rRNA from 1 species